CAGCAGACACAUUCCAGCCAAUCAGCAGCAGACCCUCCCUCCCACCUCCUGGACAGCAUCCAUUUUACAUUCAUUGUGAGGCUGCAUUCUUAGUGAGCUGUCCAGGAGGUGGGAGGGUCUGGGAGGGAGGGUCUGCUGCUGAGUGGCUGGAAUGUGUCUGCUG
rnacentral:miRNA from 1 species